rnacentral:rRNA from 1 species
UACGUAGGGUGCAAGCGUUAUCCGGAAUUAUUGGGCGUAAAGAGCUCGUAGGCGGUUUGUCGCGUCUGCUGUGAAAACUGGGGGCUCAACCCCCAGCCUGCAGCGGGUACGGGCAGACUAGAGUGCGGUAGGGGAGAUUGGAAUUCCUGGUGUAGCGGUGGAAUGCGCAGAUAUCAGGAGGAACACCGAUGGCGAAGGCAGAUCUCUGGGCCGUAACUGACGCUGAGGAGCGAAAGCAUGGGGAGCGAACAGG